rnacentral:lncRNA from 1 species
GGAAGACAGUAGUUAAUUAGGGGGAAAUAUUACCAUUUAAUGACAAUUAACCAAUAAACAUAUCAUGAUUCUUGUCUAUAUAAUCACCGAAUCUUCUUUCUAAACAAGUGUCUGUAAAUAUUAUGUACACAUAUUACUUCCAGACUACCGUAAUGUUAUUACCAACGUAUGUAGGAAGACACGUGGCUUCAGACGAAAAAUAUUGAGCACAUUUUCAGACACG